AGAGUUUGAUCAUGGCUCAGAUUGAACGCUGGCGGCAGGCCUUACACAUGCAAGUCGAGCGCGAACGUUCCUUCGGGAACUAUUAGAGCGGCGGACGGGUGAGUAACGCGUGGGAAUCUGCCCAGUAGUGGGGGAUAACAGUCGGAAACGGCUGCUAAUACCGCAUACGCCCUAUGGGGGAAAGCAGGGGAUCUUCGGACCUUGCGCUAUUGGAUGAGCCCGCGUCGGAUUAGUUAGUUGGUGGGGUAAUGGCCUACCAAGACCGCGAUCCGUAGCUGGUCUGAGAGGAUGAUCAGCCACACUGGGACUGAGACACGGCCCAGACUCCUACGGGAGGCAGCAGUGGGGAAUAUUGCACAAUGGGGGAAACCCUGAUGCAGCCAUGCCGCGUGUGUGAAGAAGGCUCUAGGGUUGUAAAGCACUUUCAGCGAGGAGGAAAACGUAGUCGUUAAUAGCGGCUAUUCUUGACGUUACUCGCANAAGAAGGACCGGCUAACUCCGUGCCAGCAGCCGCGGUAAUACGGAGGGUCCAAGCGUUAAUCGGAAUUACUGGGCGUAAAGCGCACGUAGGCGGUUUGUUUAGCUAGCUGUGAAAGCCCUGGGCUCAACCUGGGAAUUGCAGUUAGAACUGGCAAGCUAGAGUGCA
rnacentral:rRNA from 1 species